GGUUACGGCCAUACCACCUUAGGCACGCCCGAUCUCGUCUGAUCUCGGAAGCUAAGCAGGGUCGGGCCUGGUUAGUACUUGGAUGGGUGACCGCCUGGGAAUACCUGGUGCUGUAAGCA
rnacentral:rRNA from 10 species